UCCUCAUACAAAUUUUUCCUGCACCAGUAGAGAUGAAAAUUCUAAGGUCUUGGGAGAAAGGGAAGAGCUCUAGAGAACAAAGAUAAUCGAAGGAGUUGCUGGUAUGGAUCUCAGAGAGGGGACCCCAGCCCUGCUUCCUGGAGUUGGCAAGAUCAAUAGAAUUCCUAUAUAUACACAUGCACACACACACACACACACAAUGGAAUAUUAGCCGUAAAAAAGAAUGAAAUCCUCCCAUUUGUGAUGACAUGGAUGGAUCUAGAGGAUAUAUGCUAAGUAAAAUAACCCAGACAAAGAAAAAUGCCAUAUAAUUUUACUUAUAUGUGAAAUCUAAACAAAACAAAACAAAUGAACAAACAAAACAAAACAGAAACAGACUCAUAGAUACAGAGAACAAAUCAGUGGUUGCCAGAGGGGAGGAGGGUGGGAGGAAGGGUGAAAUAGGUGAAAGGGAUAAGAUGUACAAACUCCCAGUUAUAAAAUCAAUAAGUCAUGGGGACGUAACAUACAGCAUAGGGAAUAUAGUCAAUAAUAUUGUAAUAACUUUGUCGGAUGACAGAUGGUAACUAGUCUUAUCAGGGUGAUCAUUUUGUAAUGUAAAUAAAUGUUGAAUCACUACGUUGUACACCUGAAACUAAUACAAUGGCAUAUGUCAAUUAUACUUCAGAAAAAAGAACGGUCCUGCUAAGGUGAUAACUGCAAACCAGUGAAGUGAUUGAAGCUAUUGAGGGCGCAGAGGAAAACUGCUGCCCAGAGAGGUCACUGGAAGCCGUCUCUGAGGGUCCUCCUCCAGUGAUUGCAGAGAUUCCUUUUAAAGGAGCAGAAGUGACAAGUCUUCCUUCACACCGAACUUCUGUCUGCCCUACCGAUGCUGGGCCGCGUGGGACACCAAAGGAACACAGAGAAGAUAGUGAUUUAUUCUGCUUGUCGGGACUGCAGAAAUGUUGCUGAAGAGAAAGUUCAUUCUUUAGGUUUGACCUCAUAGGCUGAUCAAUAGCAGUUCUCCAGGAAGAGAGUUGGAGAUGGGAGGGGGAAGAGCAGCAGAUUAUAGAGGCAAAAGUGCAAGGUAAAUUUGGAGAAGGCUGAGCUGUCCUGUCCACUGUGAUUGGAAUAUAGAAUCUCU
rnacentral:lncRNA from 1 species